rnacentral:rRNA from 1 species
GUGCAGCAGCCGCGGUAAUACAGAGGGUGCAAGCGUUAAUCGGAGUUACUGGGCGUAAAGGGCGCGUAGGUUGUUAAAUAAGUUUCAUGUGAAAGCCCCGGGCUUAACCUGGGAACUGCAUGGAAAACUGUUUAACUAGAGUAUGGUAGAGGUAAGUGGAAUUUCCGGUGUAGCGGUGAAAUGCGUAGAUAUCGGAAGGAACACCAGUGGCGAAGGCGACUUACUGGGCCAAUACUGACACUGAGGCGCGAAAGCGUGGGUAGCGAACAGGAUUAGAUA